rnacentral:rRNA from 1 species
GACGAACGCUGGCGGCGUGCCUAAUACAUGCAAGUAGAACGCUGAAGAGAGGAGCUUGCUCUUCUUGGAUGAGUUGCGAACGGGUGAGUAACGCGUAGGUAACCUGCCUUGUAGCGGGGGAUAACUAUUGGAAACGAUAGCUAAUACCGCAUAACAAUGGAUGACACAUGUCAUUUAUUUGAAAGGGGCAAUUGCUCCACUACAAGAUGGACCUGCGUUGUAUUAGCUAGUAGGCGAGGUAACGGCUCACCUAGGCGACGAUACAUAGCCGACCUGAGAGGGUGAUCGGCCACACUGGGACUGAGACACGGCCCAGACUCCUACGGGAGGCAGCAGUAGGGAAUCUUCGGCAAUGGGGGCAACCCUGACCGAGCAACGCCGCGUGAGUGAAGAAGGUUUUCGGAUCGUAAAGCUCUGUUGUAAGUCAAGAACGAGUGUGAGAGUGGAAAGUUCACACUGUGACGGUAGCUUACCAGAAAGGGACGGCUAACUACGUGCCAGCAGCCGCGGUAAUACGUAGGUCCCGAGCGUUGUCCGGAUUUAUUGGGCGUAAAGCGAGCGCAGGCGGUUUGAUAAGUCUGAAGUUAAAGGCUGUGGCUCAACCAUAGUUCGCUUUGGAAACUGUCAAACUUGAGUGCAGAAGGGGAGAGUGGAAUUCCAUGUGUAGCGGUGAAAUGCGUAGAUAUAUGGAGGAACACCGGUGGCGAAAGCGGCUCUCUGGUCUGUAACUGACGCUGAGGCUCGAAAGCGUGGGGAGCGAACAGGAUUAGAUACCCUGGUAGUCCACGCCGUAAACGAUGAGUGCUAGGUGUUGGAUCCUUUCCGGGAUUCAGUGCCGCAGCUAACGCAUUAAGCACUCCGCCUGGGGAGUACGACCGCAAGGUUGAAACUCAAAGGAAUUGACGGGGGCCCGCACAAGCGGUGGAGCAUGUGGUUUAAUUCGAAGCAACGCGAAGAACCUUACCAGGUCUUGACAUCCCGAUGCUAUUUCUAGAGAUAGAAAGUUACUUCGGUACAUCGGUGACAGGUGGUGCAUGGUUGUCGUCAGCUCGUGUCGUGAGAUGUUGGGUUAAGUCCCGCAACGAGCGCAACCCCUAUUGUUAGUUGCCAUCAUUCAGUUGGGCACUCUAGCGAGACUGCCGGUAAUAAACCGGAGGAAGGUGGGGAUGACGUCAAAUCAUCAUGCCCCUUAUGACCUGGGCUACACACGUGCUACAAUGGUUGGUACAACGAGUUGCGAGUCGGUGACGGCAAGCUAAUCUCUUAAAGCCAAUCUCAGUUCGGAUUGUAGGCUGCAACUCGCCUACAUGAAGUCGGAAUCGCUAGUAAUCGCGGAUCAGCACGCCGCGGUGAAUACGUUCCCGGGCCU